GCAGUAGCCACGGUAAUACAGAGGGUGCGAGCGUUAAUCGGAUUUACUGGGCGUAAAGCGUGCGUAGGCGGCUUCUUAAGUCGGAUGUGAAAUCCCUGAGCUUAACUUAGGAAUUGCAUUCGAUACUGGGAAGCUAGAGUAUGGGAGAGGAUGGUAGAAUUCCAGGUGUAGCGGUGAAAUGCGUAGAGAUCUGGAGGAAUACCGAUGGCGAAGGCAGCCAUCUGGCCUAAUACUGACGCUGAGGUACGAAAGCAUGGGGAGCAAACAGGAUUAGAGACCCCUGUAGUCCCUGUCUCUUAUAC
rnacentral:rRNA from 1 species